GGCGCCACGUGGCCCCGGAAAACAGUGACAGCACAGUUUAUCGCAGUUUACAGCGCUCGACACACUUCACUCAUUUAACGACGACGGACCCGACCGAAGGGGUAGCUGCUAUUAUGCCACUGUAAAAGAUGGGAAAAGAUGACUGUGAGGAUCCCCUGAUCUCUUCCUGACCUGGAGUCAGCUCCUUGGUGGCCUGUCCAGGAACCAUCUCCAGGCUUCUGUUCCAGGCCCAGGCUGUGGAUCAGUGCUGCGGGUCAGCCUCAGGCUGCAGGAAGAAAAGCUUGCCCCAGGAAAAGAUGCAGUCCUGGAAGAGGAGCUUGAGGGGAGGCCUGGGUGCAGGCAGUCUUACCAGAAGGAGGCUGUAGGAGAAGGUUCUGGUGAUUCUGCCCCUCCUCAGGAUUGGAGGGCAUCUCCAGAGCCCCCCCAGAAUGUAUUGGGGUCUUUGGCUGGUGGACCGUCUGGAAACCUCUCCCCCUGGCUCGCAGAAUGUCUCCAAACACUUUUCUGUGCCUGUGAAGUCACUCUGGAAAAGUACACUUCCCAUUUUUACCUGAUAACUAUAAGGAUUUCAAUAAAUGAUUUUUGAAAACCCUUUAUUAAAGGUGUCCAACUGUGGCUUCCUGUGUGCGGCCCUUGGGUGUGUCUUGGUUUCCCUUUGUUCUGCUUCACACUCAAGACACUUCACCUGAAGGACCCCAGCUGCCCUGUCAGCUAGAAUCAUGACUAGCUCUGGGUUCUGGACCAGCCCUGGCUCACGCCGGUCACCUGCAUGAGAGGGAGGUGCACACGUGGUCUCGCGUGUCCUGUGUAUGCCAUCUGUGUUGGGGCUGUGGGGUAGCUGUAGGUAACUGCCUGUCAUGUGGUGGUUCUAGGAGCCCAGAGUCUAGAUGGGUUGCCUGUGAAUGGGGAACCAGGAGGGGUGACGUGGAGAAGGUGACUCACCCAGGG